rnacentral:rRNA from 2 species
GACGAACGCUGGCGGCGUGCCUAAUACAUGCAAGUCGAACGAACUCUGGUAUUGAUUGGUGCUUGCAUCAUGAUUUACAUUUGAGUGAGUGGCGAACUGGUGAGUAACACGUGGGAAACCUGCCCAGAAGCGGGGGAUAACACCUGGAAACAGAUGCUAAUACCGCAUAACAACUUGGACCGCAUGGUCCGAGCUUGAAAGAUGGCUUCGGCUAUCACUUUUGGAUGGUCCCGCGGCGUAUUAGCUAGAUGGUGGGGUAACGGCUCACCAUGGCAAUGAUACGUAGCCGACCUGAGAGGGUAAUCGGCCACAUUGGGACUGAGACACGGCCCAAACUCCUACGGGAGGCAGCAGUAGGGAAUCUUCCACAAUGGACGAAAGUCUGAUGGAGCAACGCCGCGUGAGUGAAGAAGGGUUUCGGCUCGUAAAACUCUGUUGUUAAAGAAGAACAUAUCUGAGAGUAACUGUUCAGGUAUUGACGGUAUUUAACCAGAAAGCCACGGCUAACUACGUGCCAGCAGCCGCGGUAAUACGUAGGUGGCAAGCGUUGUCCGGAUUUAUUGGGCGUAAAGCGAGCGCAGGCGGUUUUUUAAGUCUGAUGUGAAAGCCUUCGGCUCAACCGAAGAAGUGCAUCGGAAACUGGGAAACUUGAGUGCAGAAGAGGACAGUGGAACUCCACGUGUAGCGGUGAAAUGCGUAGAUAUAUGGAAGAACACCAGUGGCGAAGGCGGCUGUCUGGUCUGUAACUGACGCUGAGGCUCGAAAGUAUGGGUAGCAAACAGGAUUAGAUACCCUGGUAGUCCAUACCGUAAACGAUGAAUGCUAAGUGUUGGAGGGUUUCCGCCCUUCAGUGCUGCAGCUAACGCAUUAAGCAUUCCGCCUGGGGAGUACGGCCGCAAGGCUGAAACUCAAAGGAAUUGACGGGGGCCCGCACAAGCGGUGGAGCAUGUGGUUUAAUUCGAAGCUACGCGAAGAACCUUACCAGGUCUUGACAUACUAUGCAAAUCUAAGAGAUUAGACGUUCCCUUCGGGGACAUGGAUACAGGUGGUGCAUGGUUGUCGUCAGCUCGUGUCGUGAGAUGUUGGGUUAAGUCCCGCAACGAGCGCAACCCUUAUUAUCAGUUGCCAGCAUUAAGUUGGGCACUCUGGUGAGACUGCCGGUGACAAACCGGAGGAAGGUGGGGAUGACGUCAAAUCAUCAUGCCCCUUAUGACCUGGGCUACACACGUGCUACAAUGGAUGGUACAACGAGUUGCGAACUCGCGAGAGUAAGCUAAUCUCUUAAAGCCAUUCUCAGUUCGGAUUGUAGGCUGCAACUCGCCUACAUGAAGUCGGAAUCGCUAGUAAUCGCGGAUCAGCAUGCCGCGGUGAAUACGUUCCCGGGCCUUGUACACACCGCCCGUCACACCAUGAGAGUUUGUAACACCCAAAGUCGGUGGGGUAACCUUUUAGGAACCAGCCGCCUAAGGUGGGACAGAUGAUUAGGGUG